rnacentral:rRNA from 1 species
CCACACCGUAAACGUUGGGCGCUAGGUGUGGGAUCCAUUCCACGGGUUCCGUGCCGCAGCUAACGCAUUAAGCGCCCCGCCUGGGGAGUACGGCCGCAAGGCUAAAACUCAAAGGAAUUGACGGGGGCCCGCACAAGCGGCGGAGCAUGCGGAUUAAUUCGAUGCAACGCGAAGAACCUUACCUGGGUUUGACAUACGCCGGAAAGCAUCAGAGAUGGUGCCCCUUUUUGUCGGUGUACAGGUGGUGCAUGGCUGU